rnacentral:rRNA from 1 species
GAUGAACGCUGGCGGCGUGCCUAAUACAUGCAAGUCGAGCGAACAGACGAGGCGCUUGCUCCUCUGUCGAUAGCGGCAGACGUGUGUAUAACACGUGGAAAACCUACCUGUAAUACUGGGAUCACUUGGGAACAGCGGAGCUAAUCGCGUAUAAUCUAUUGAACCGCGUUGUGGGAUGGUGAAUGACGGUUGUUUCGGCGGUUAUCGCUGGAUCGGCGCCUCAUUAGCUGGUUGUGACGGUAGCGGCUUACGACGGCAACGCCGGGUAGCCGGCCUGAGAGGGUGACCGGCGACAUUGGGACUGCGAUACGGACCAGAAUCCUACGGGCGGCAGCAGUGGGGAAUAUUGCACAAUGGGCGGAAGCCUGAUGCAGAAACGCCGCGUGCGGGAUGACGGCCUUCGGGUUGUAAACAAAUUUCGCCUGUGACGAAGCGUGAGUGACGGUAAUGGGUAAAGAAGCACCGGCUAACUACGUG